UAUAUAUCAUGAUUAAAUGCUCAAACAUCAGUGGUAGUUGCUCAUGUACCAUGAUUGUUUGAGUAUAUGCCAUGGUAUCUC
rnacentral:pre_miRNA from 12 species